rnacentral:misc_RNA from 1 species
GAUGAAGAACGCAGCGAAAUGCGAUAAGUAAUGUGAAUUGCAGAAUUCAGUGAAUCAUCGAAUCUUUGAACGCACAUUGCGCCCGCCAGUAUUCUGGCGGGCAUGCCUGUUCGAGCGUCAUUACAACCCUCAGGCCCCCGGGCCUGGCGUUGGGGAUCGGCGGAGCCCCCCGUGGGCACACGCCGUCCCCCAAAUACAGUGGCGGUCCCGCCGCAGCUUCCAUCGCGUAGUAGCUAACACCUCGCGACUGGAGAGCGGCGCGGCCACGCCGUAAAACACCCAACUCUGCUGAAGUUGACCUCGAAUCAGGUAGGAAUACCCGCUGAACUUAAGCAUAUCAAUAAGCGGAGGA